AAAAAAACAUGACAUUUGAAGACCAGUCCAAGUAUGAAUUUUAGGACCAUAUGAAAAAACCAUAAUAAUGUAUGGGGUAUUGUGAAGUUAGGAACUUUUUUGGGGCUUUUAUAGAUAUAGGCAUAUUUUGGCCCAAAAAUUAGAAAAGAGACACAUUUGACUUGAGCUUAUAAGUUUAAGAACUUUUUGAUCUGUGAAAUGACAAUAUUGCCCUCAAUUCCCUUGUCUCUCUGUCGUGCGCCUGAUUUUUCCGACCAACAAUCUUCUGCUUCUCACCGCCGACUCAACACUCUAUCAAAAUCAUAAUUUUCAGGUCCAACAAAAUCGUUCCUUCACCUCUGACAACUCAUACAACAUUUUCUUCACCAACCUCCUCCGUUAAAAUCCGAUAGAUCUACUUAAAAGAGUGUUGAUGCAAAGAAUCUAAACUCUAUGGGGAUAAUGUCUAGGGAAUCCACGGAUUCUAAUUUUAGACACAAAUUAAAUCAAUUCAUUCUAAACCAAAUUUAGUUGCUAGUGUCGACGAAGCUUCCCAUCACGGUUUGUAACAUGAGAUCUUGAAAGCAGGCAGUCAAAGGCUGGUCGAUUAGGCCUUCAAACUGCAAUUUUCAAAUCUCAAAUUGGAGAUUGGAAAUCAGAUAAAUAUAACUUUUAUGGUCGUAUUUUGGGGCAAAAAGAAAAAAAAUGAUAGAUUUAAAGAGACAAAGAGAUGAAUAAUUAUGGUAGUCAUUGAACAAUAGCAAUUACGAGUAUUCUUCUGUAUGGUUUGUGUGUGUUUCGAACCUGGGUUUUGGAUUCCUUAUGGUUGUGUGGGUGAGAGAUAAUCCAACUAAAAAAAAUUAAAAAAGAGAGAAGAGGAAAUUAUUAGGUUUGUCUGGGUGACGAAGGGUAAAAUCGUCAAUAUCAAGAGAUAGAAGUACUUAAUUCUAUAAGCACAUGCAUUUUGUGCCUGUAUCGACAACGACAUAGAAUUUUAAGUGCUUUAUUCGUAAUUGAUCCCAUUUUUUUAGUGUUUAUGUAGAUGAGUAUUUUUACUUUUGGUGAUUUGCAAGAAUAGCCAUAUUUAAUAAAUGAAUUAAGAAUAUAGCAGCAUAAUUGUAACAAUUAAUAAACUAGCAUGAGAGACAAUGGAAAAGACAAUUUUAGUGUUUAGCUGUAUAAAAAAUAUAAAUGGA
rnacentral:sRNA from 1 species